GUCAGACACAAACACACACACACACAGUCAGACACAAACACACACACAGUCAGACACAAACACACACACACAGUCAGACACAAACAAACACACACACACUCAGACACAAACGCACACACACAGUCAGACACAAACACACACACAGUCAGACACAAACACACACACACAGUCAGACACAAACACACACACAGUCAGACACAAA